GUCGCUAUGCCUCACACGACUAGGCUAUAUCAAUAAUACGCCAUACUAUGUGUAACGGGCUGCACGAGGUAUAUGUGAGGUGGAACAAACCAGAACCCAAAUCGGCAACGAGGGUGAGGCAUCGAGCCCACCGGAGCGUGUCCUAUUACAUGUUAACACAGGAAAGUCUGGCAAAUGAAUACCAAAGACCAGGGAGGCGCAGCCCUGCAAGUGGCUAAAAUGGGACCUGGGAUUUCGGGCCUUUCCAGAGACGGGAGUCGUCUUCCUUGGAUGGAUUUCGGUCCCAGGGUCUGCAUCAACACCUUGGGCUCACCUCGGGUCGUGCCAGGCGAGCGUAACACUUGUAAUGAGGUCACCAGACUGACGGCACACAAUGAAGUCAAAAGAAGAAACAUUGGCCGGAGCCAAGAAUGUUUUGUUGAUGCCAACAACUCCACUAAGUGUUAUGGGGACAGCGGGGGAGCCGGCUAUCAUCUGCUGGCGUCCAGGAGAAAGAUAUGUUUGGAGAGACUGACGCCAACGGUUUGAGCAAAGGAAUAUAAAAAGGACUAUGGGACAAUCGGGCGCGAGCUCUCUUUCAUUUCACCUUGGAGAUGGGUACAGGUGGAUGAAACGGGGCCCAGGUACCUGUAGACUGUGGAAACUAUCCUGUCUGACUUAUUUUUCAAUAUAUUUGGAAAAAUCUAACUUGUUGUGAGUCUUUCUCAUAACUGGAGAUUAAGGAGCUCACAAGGGAGGUGAAAUUGGCUACAAGAAUAAAGUCGUAAAUUCAUGAGGAAAAAAGUUGUAUUAUGAGAAAAAGUUGCAAAUUUAUGAGAAAGAAAUUAAGUCGUAAAUUUACGAGAAAAAAGUUUUACAUUUACGAGAAGAAAAGUGUUAAAUGUAUGAGAAUAAAGUGUCAGUAUGAGGUGUGGUGGUGCCGUACGUGUCAGAGGGAAAAUAGAGCAUAGCUCUUCAGGAACGAAAGAAGCUUUCCUCUUCCGCUUCAGGCAAGCUUUUAUUUAUAACGUGGCAGCAAAACACAGCAGUGCAGCACGGACAGAUUGGCAAGGCCAAAGGUCACAUAAGUCCCUCCUUUUUCAUAGCUGUCCCAGGCGAUGCCUGUUAGAUAAAGUUACUCAUUUUUUCUCAAACAUACGACUUUACUUUUAUUCUCAGUCUCAGAUUACUUUCAUACUCUGUCGUAUUCUUGUACAUUUAUGACUUCAUUCUCAUAAAUGUGACUUUCUUGUAACUUUAUAACUUUAUUCUCAUAUAUUUAACAACUUUUUUUCUCGUAAAUUUACACUUUUUCUCAAAUGUACAACUAUUUUUGUAAAUGUACAACUUUUUUCUCAUAAAUGUACAACUUUUUUCUGGUAAAUGUACUACUUUAUUGUCAUUUGUACGCUUCGUCUGCCAUCGUAACGGAGGGGUUUGACAUGAUGCGCAUGCAUUAAUUACACAACAUAACAAAGUAGUUACCGCCCUAACAUGACAUCAUCUGAAUAACACAAGACACGUGCCAUAUUGUAAGCGAGUUGGAAAAUGAACGCAAACAGAGGCGAAGGUUGGCCGUAGAUCUCUGUACGCGAAGGCUAACCAAGGUGCCACUGUGGUUGAAUUGCUACCAUGAAGGGGGUGUUGGAUGUCCUAAGUUACCCUCAAAGACGUGGAAAAUGUGCCAGUUAGCGUCCAUACUUCACAGCAGACUUUUGUCAGAAUUUGUCUUAAUGGAACGUGUCCGCCAACAGGAAGCCGCCUCCGUCCGUCUUUGUGCUGCGGCACGUGGCCGUCUUCUUGGACGGACACAUGUUCUCGUUGCAGAUCUCCCUGGCGUCCUUUGACUGCGUGAGCCCGCUUCCUGUUGAGGUGAGAGUCGCAGAACGCCAUCACACGCACGCCGUACACCAGCAGCCCUCGUGUACGUGAAUAAAGGUACGUCUUAUCUCUUCCAGGUACAAAAUGCUACAUUUAUCUUUUCAAGAUGAUGCAAUGUGGACUAAAGUAAUGGGACAGUUGGCUAUCGUGUUCUUUGGCCCCAUGGCGGGUUAUUUGGCAAUGAAACUGCAGAGUGAGUCAGGGUGCUUUGUUCUUGUGAUGUGUCGGUCGCCAAAGAAUGGGCUCUUUGAAAUGGACGACAAGAGCCGGCUCACGUCAUUGGGAGACAGUCGGGAGCCGACCAGUUUUAAAGGCGAAUGUCAUCGGUCAAGAUGUGUGGCGGCGUCGCUGCAUCCAGAUUGAGCGGGGGACGGGCGGAGUGAAACACGCCGUAGUGCUCAUGGAGCCGAUUCGUUCGUGAGGAAUUUGCAUGAAGAGAUCAAAUAUACUUGAUAUUGUGUAUUUUUUACAUUUGUGUUUCACACAAAACACAUCACUUGCUAAUAAAUUCAUUUAAGACAGCAAAAAAAAUCGGCGGAGCCACUCGGUAGCCGAAAAGAGCAGGCUCUUUUUAGUGAGCCGGGCCAAAAGAACCGGUUCUCUAAAAAGAGCCGAAAUUUCCACCACUACUUUGUUUGACCACACGAGUCCACAGAAUGAUACAGCACAGGCGUAAGCUGACUUGUUUCUUAUGUGCGAUAUCAUUUGAAAAUUGAGAGUGCUUGAAAACCGAGGCAAAAUUGUAGCAAAUUUUAGACCAAAAUGAUACACACGAAAAGUGAGGCAUGUGACUGUACCGUCGUCUCUCGCUACUUCGCGGUUCGAACAUCGCUCCCUCUCUGGUUGACUAUCAUCAGUCAAGAAAUAUACAUAUUUAAGCAAAUUGGACCUAUUUUUGCCCAAAUUAGGCAUUUUCAAACAUAAAAUGACUAAAUGAGCCAAAAUACAAAUGCAGUAUAAACCAUUUAGAGCAAUGUUCAACUUGUGAAUGUCACAUUGGUCACUAAUUUGGCCACUAGGUGUCAGUAACCACCAAAGUACCAGGUUUGAACAACUGGAUUUAAAUAAUAAUAAUAAUAAUAAUAAUAAUAAUAAUAAUAUUCAUGGAUUAGAUUUUGUUUAGUGCUUUUCAAGGCACCCAAAGUGCUUCACAAUGAAGUGAAGCCAUUCAUUCACCCCUCAGUCACACGCUGGUGGUGGUAAUCUACAUCUGUAGGCACAGCUGCCAAGGGGUAGUCUGACAGAAACACAGCUGCCAAUUUGCGCGUGUGGCCUCUCCGACCAAACCAAACAUUCAUUCGCAUUCAUACGCCAGUGUGGGCAGCACUGGAGGCGAGGUGGGUGACGUGUCUCGCCCAGGGACACGACGACGGUGACUGGGUGGAGGGAGCGAGGAUGGAACCGCCAACCCUCCGAUCUCCAGCUCAAUUGAUCUCACAGGCAUAGUAAGAACUACAACAAUAGUCAUAUUAGUAGCAUUGUAUUCAAUUACUGGGUAAUAGGUAAUAGGAGUGUAAAGCUGACUAUAGGGGUGUUAUUUCAUGUGUAAAGGGCUCUAAUGUGGAAAAAAAAAACUAUUUAGAAGAUCGUAAACUGAUUUUUUUUAUGCUGGAACUGCAAAAAUAUUUCAUUUAUAAAUAAGGAAUUCGACUUCUCAGAAAUUCACUUAUCGCUGUCGGGCCUGGAAGCAAUUAACCGCCAAAAACCGGGGAUUACUGUGUUGCAUUUUGAGGGGGGGACACAUUUAUGACCCCAGUUUAGCCAUUUUGCAGCUAAACAAGACAUAUUGGGCAUAAAAAAGGUUUAUGUAAUCCGCCCUACUUCACACUGCCCGCUCAAGGGCUCGAACACAUGACUUCGCAAUGGGGGAUGAGAGCGCUGACCCCUUGGCCAAAAGCCCCAAUCGUCAACUGUGCGUUCAGUGCAGCUCUUAAGGCAGAGGGAGUGAGGUUUACCAACACACUUGCGCAGCCUCACAGGCUGGCAUCCGUUACAUUCACCACCUUCUAAAUACGCUUUUUAACCUUAUUAGAGCCCUCUAGACAUGACAUAACACCCCUAUAGUCACCUUUACACGCCUAUUACCCAAUAUAGUAGACAUAAUAGCAUAAAAGAAGACACUUCAGACAUAAAUAAGAAUAUAUAUGUAAUAGAAACUCACACACAUACUUCCUGCAUGGCUAUUGCCUCAUCAGUGUAACAUUACUGACACCUAGGGACCAGUGCAGAAUACUGCAUGUCAUCACAACAUGCGUUUGAAUGCCUUAUUUGUGUUUCAUAUUUAGCCAUUUUUAUGCUGAAUUUAGGCCAGAAUGCUCAAAUAUGCAUGUUUUUGACUAUCAAUAGGCCGUAAUCAACCAUGAAACAGCGCUGAUUUGUCUUUUUGCAAGAGCGUGGUAGAGUGAAGCCACGAAAUCGGUGUUAGUCAUGUCAGAAUAUGAUUAUGUUCCAAUAUUUCCGGACUACCGGGGCAGAUAUUACUGUGUUGUGAGCUGACAGUGCGUCGCCAGCAAGAUGCUGCGUUUACUGCACAUGGAACCAACCCUGUCAUUUUCACAUGACUUUCUGUGACUAAAUCUCGUGUUUUAUUUGCAAAAUAGAACAUCCGUGGGCAAACCACCACACAUACCACUGAGGAAUAUAUCAUCUUUUGAACAAAAUACUAAAUGUGUUGUGGCAAAGUAGCACUCGCAUCACUCACCGUCCAUGAGGUUGUAGACGAGGCAGUAAUCGUUGCUGGUGGAGUUGGAGGUCUUUGUGGUGGACGUGGCCUGCAAAGGAAUGAUGGAAGGAAGUCAACACCUCCGUGUGGCCACAAACAGGAAGUGCGUUCAAGCCCACCUUCACCCUGCAGAAGCUGGGCGCCGACGGCGGGUUGAACUCCAAGACGAUGUCGGUGGUGGCGCGGCCGCUGGGCGAGGUGUGCUGGAUUUGCAGGCAUGACGGAGAGUCCUUCACUAACUGGAGGAAAGUUGAACAACGUUGGGAUUAAAACAGUCAUACAGCGAAGUGACAGUAGGUGGAAAAGCCUAUUGUUUCUAUCAAAUCACACCCCCCGGCCCCCCUUUUUGUUGUUUUUUUUUAAUUACAAACGCUUCAAACUUUUUCUUAACCAAUUUUUGUAAAUUUUGACUCCUACCUCCGGCCCCCUCCACCGCCCCCCAAUGUAAUUUUCCAAAAGUACAACCUUUUUGGUGUUCUUUGAUUCUUACUAUUCAUACU